UACGUAGGGGGCUAGCGUUGUCCGGAAUCAUUGGGCGUAAAGAGCUCGUAGGCGGUUUCGUAAGUCGGGUGUGAAAACUCUAGGCUCAACCUAGAGACGCCACCCGAUACUGCGAUGACUAGAGUCCGGUAGGGGAGUGUGGAAUUCCUGGUGUAGCGGUGAAAUGCGCAGAUAUCAGGAGGAACACCAACGGCGAAGGCAGCACUCUGGGCCGGAACUGACGCUGAGGAGCGAAAGCGUGGGUAGCGAACAGG
rnacentral:rRNA from 1 species